GUGGGGAAUAUUGGACAAUGGGCGAAAGCCUGAUCCAGCCAUGCCGCGUGUGUGAAGAAGGUCUUCGGAUUGUAAAGCACUUUAAGUUGGGAGGAAGGGUAGUAACCUAAUACGUUGCUACUUUGACGUUACCGACAGAAUAAGCACCGGCUAACUUCGUGCCAGCAGCCGCGGUAAUACGAAGGGUGCAAGCGUUAAUCGGAAUUACUGGGCGUAAAGCGCGCGUAGGUGGUUCAGUAAGUUGGGAGUGAAAUCCCCGGGCUCAACCUGGGAACUGCUUUCAAAACUGCUGAGCUAGAGUACGGUAGAGGGUGGUGGAAUUUCCUGUGUAGCGGUGAAAUGCGUAGAUAUAGGAAGGAACACCAGUGGCGAAGGCGACCACCUGGACUGAUACUGACACUGAGGUGCGAAAGCGUGGGGAGCAAACAGGAUUAGAAACCCCUGUAGUCC
rnacentral:rRNA from 1 species